CCUACGGGAGGCUGCAGUGAGGAAUAUUGGUCAAUGGCCGCAGGGCUGAACCAGCCAAGUCGCGUGAGGGAUGACGGUCCUAUGGAUUGUAAACCUCUUUUGUCAGGGAGCAAAGGGCGCCACGUGGGGCGCUUUGCGAGUACCUGAAGAAAAAGCAUCGGCUAACUCCGUGCACGCAGCCGCGGUAAUACGGUGGAUGCGAGCGUUAUCCGGAUUAAUGGGGGUUAAGGGGUGCGCAGGCGGAAUGUCAAGUCAGCGGUAAAAUUUCGGGGCUCAAACCCGUCUUUCCGUUGAAACUGGCGUUCUUGAGUGAGCGCGAAGUAUGCGGAAUGCGUGGGGUAGCGGUGAAUUGCAUAGAUAUCGCGCAGAACUCCGAUUGCGAAGGCAGCAUACCGGCGCUCAACUGACGCUCAUGCACGAAAGCGUGGGUAUCGAACAGGAUUAGAUACCCCAGUAGUC
rnacentral:rRNA from 1 species